GAUCCUGGCUCAGAUUGAACGCUGGCGGCAGGCCUAACACAUGCAAGUCGAACGGUAACAGGAAGCAGCUUGCUGCUUCGCUGACGAGUGGCGGACGGGUGAGUAAUGUCUGGGAAGCUGCCUGAUGGAGGGGGAUAACUACUGGAAACGGUAGCUAAUACCGCAUAAUGUCGCAAGACCAAAGAGGGGGACCUUCGGGCCUCUUGCCAUCGGAUGUGCCCAGAUGGGAUUAGCUUGUUGGUGGGGUAACGGCUCACCAAGGCGACGAUCCCUAGCUGGUCUGAGAGGAUGACCAGCCACACUGGAACUGAGACACGGUCCAGACUCCUACGGGAGGCAGCAGUGGGGAAUAUUGCACAAUGGGCGCAAGCCUGAUGCAGCCAUGCCGCGUGUAUGAAGAAGGCCUUCGGGUUGUAAAGACUUUUCAGCGGGGAGGAAGGGAGUAAAGUUAAUACCUUUGCUCAUUGACGUUACCCGCAGAAGAAGCACCGGCUAACUCCGUGCCAGCAGCCGCGGUAAUACGGAGGGUGCAAGCGUUAAUCGGAAUUACUGGGCGUAAAGCGCACGCAGGCGGUUUGUUAAGUCAGAUGUGAAAUCCCCGGGCUCAACCUGGGAACUGCGUCUGAUACUGGCAAGCUUGAGUCUCGUAGAGGGGGGUAGAAUUCCAGGUGUAGCGGUGAAAUGCGUAGAGAUCUGGAAGAAUACCGGUGGCGAAGGCGGCCCCCUGGACGAAGACUGACGCUCAUGUGCGAAAGCGUGGGGAGCAAACAGGAUUAGAUACCCUGGUAGUCCACGCCGUAAACGAUGCGACUUGGGAGGUUGUGCCCUUGAGGCGUGGCUUCCGGAGCUAACGCGUUAAGUCGACGCCUGGGGAGUACGGCCGCAAGGUAAAAACUCGAAUGAAUAAACCGGGGACCGCACAAGCGGUGAGCAUGGUGGUUU
rnacentral:rRNA from 1 species